rnacentral:rRNA from 1 species
AUGUAUAAGAAGAGGAAACUGUGGGCCGCGGCUUAUCUGACAGAGGGGUUUUGGCUUGGCUUGAAAAGCAACCAGCGGAGUGAAAGCCUGAACUCAUCCCUUCACCUCCACCUAGACGGUGAAAUGACCUUGGUGGAUAUGAUUUUGCACUAUGAGAAUGCCGUUGUAUGUAUCCGUGAAAACGAGGAGCAAGAUGACUGCAUGGACUCACAGAGUUUACCGGUGCCAGUUACUACCUCGAGGGAACUUGACAUAGCUGCUUCUUACGUCUUCACUCCAUCAAAUUUCUAUAUGUUGCAAGAUGAUCUUAGAAAAAUUGGCGGCAUGGAGAUUGUAGAAAUUAAGCUGGGAGAUGGAUCACAACAGUACAUCGUGGCCUGGAAGAAUAACCGGAAGAGCCGUUUUUGGGUGGAGUAUGCACCAGUAAAUUCUGCAGAAACUAUAAGGUGCGGCUACAGAAGAAUGAUUCGAAAGGGUCUACCUUGCAAGCACAUAUUCCGUGUACUGAAGUACUUGAACAUAUCUGAAAUACCAAAGUGUUUAGUUCUUGUUUGGUUCACGAAAGAAGCAAGGUUGGGACUGCCCGCGAGGCGCACAAGCGAUCUGUUGGGAUUUGGUUGGACUGGGGCAGGGGAAAGAAUGAAAUAUAGCCAGGUCAGUGUGUUAGCGUCAGAAGCUAUGCAUGCGGCAUGCAAACACCCAGCUUUGUGGGAUCAGUUACAGGAGAUUUUGAAGGUUGUGAUAGCUAAGAGUCAUGAGUAUGACCUGCUACUGGAAAAUUUGAGCAAGAAACAAAUGACCUCAGUAAGUGUGCAGUUGAAUAUGUGGACGAUGGUGUCAAGCAAAGGUGCAACAAAGGUAGAUGAGAGCUGCCCUAUCUCGAAAAAAUGGUAG